AUCCCAUCCCCCUUCGAUCCGCCACUGAUUGUGAAUAUAAAUAUAAUUGUUACUUAAAAGUCAUAGACUAGUACUGGCUCCGAGCACCUGUUUUGGGAUAUAUACAGCUAAUUAACCGUAAAUAACUGCGAGAUAAUGAAUAACAAGUUGAUACUUGUCUAUUCUCUGCUAAUUAAUGUACCUGCAAUUCACCCUGAUUCAUUUGUGAGACCACCGACACUAAAAAUAUUACCUCAAAGUAAGAGGUUCUCCGUUACUGGGAACUUCAUAUCGGAUCCGAUCAAUUUAUUGGUUCCAUUCCCCCUAGUAUUAAUGAUCCAUUUGCAGUGACGAUGACAAUCAUAGUUUAGGGCAAGAAAUAUAGAAGAUAAAGAAAAAUAUAAACAAUUACAACUGUACAGUAGAAAUGAUCGGCAAAACAAGAUAAACAGAAGACAACAAGGCCUAAAUGGUGAGACUUCUUGGUUUUUAUGAUCAUCACCAGGUCAAUACAGAGGAAACUUAAGGUUAAUACUUUUCUACAUUGUGUGCUUAUUGGAUUAAUGUGAAAUGAAAUGUGUACUUACCUGGAAAAAGAAAACAGGAAAUUUCUACAAAAUGGCUGUAAACAAAAUGGAGUACAAUCAUAGAUGCACAAGAACACAAUUGUGUAAUUGCAACAACCUACAUAUUCACUGAAGGAUUAUGGAGAAAUGUAGAAAAAAUAGUAUUUUGUUGUCGAAAUAAACACCUGCUUUAUCCAUUCAUGUACAUAGCUCUGUCAUAUCAAAUAUACAGAGGAAGAUGUUUGAAGAACAAAUUGUAAAAAUGUAUUCUCUACCAAUUGAAGGAAGAUGUCUGGUGGAUGGAAUUAUUUAUGCACUGAACUCUUAUGUAGGGGAUUGAAUAAUUGUACACAGCAGCUUAAACAGAAGAAAAGUUAAAUUAACAUAAAAAGUGGUUAUUUUAUUUAAUCUGCAAAUAUGAGCACAAUAUUAAUAACAUCACAAAUAGUAUGAUAUUCAUAGCGUUUUGCUUAUUAUUGUAUUGUCUCAAACAGCUAGCCUAUUGUUUUAGUAUGUCAUGUUACUCAUCAGUGAACAUUUUAUUAAAGUUUUAAUUAUC